GUGAGGAAUAUUGCGCAAUGGAGGCAACUCUGACGCAGCCAUGCCGCGUGCAGGAAGAAGGCGCUACGCGUUGUAAACUGCUUUUAACCGGGAAGAAACCCCAGGACGUGUCCUGGGUUGACGGUACCGGAGGAAUAAGCACCGGCUAACUUCGUGCCAGCAGCCGCGGUAAUACGAAGGGUGCAAGCGUUAUCCGGAUUCAUUGGGUUUAAAGGGUGCGUAGGCGGAGCGUUAAGUCAGUGGUGAAAUCCUGCAGCUUAACUGUAGACUUGCCAUUGAUACUGGCGCUCUUGAGUGCGCUUGAAGUGGGCGGAAUGUGCCGUGUAGCGGUGAAAUGCUUAGAUAUUGCACAGAACACCAAUUGCGAAGGCAGCUCACUAAGGCGAUACUGACGCUGAGGCACGAAAGCGUGGGGAUCGAACAGGAUUAGAUACCCUAGUAGUCC
rnacentral:rRNA from 1 species